GCAGAGCAAGCCCAUCCUGCUUCCUCACUAGAGUUCCCGAUGAAGCUCCCAACACAUCGGACACCGCGCUGAACAAUGCCGGCUACAACCUGAAGGUGAUGGUCACUUGCGGAAAGGUUACGGCUCAAUCCACGGAGGCCUCGCCUGCAUGCGCCCACCUAUUCAUCACCGCCGGAAGGGAAAAAACCGAGUGACCCAACACGCGGCCGCGCGUUCGUCCGCGCAGGUUGGAGGACCCCGUCGCGCUCCCCGUGCGCGCGCACGAGAUAUAUCA